GUGAAUGUCAGGGCUGUCAGUGUCACGGUCUGACAUGAUUAGCGUUUCUGACAUUACACCAAGAAGCAGACACGGAGCAAGGAAAGCGGGUGGAGAGGGACGAGGGUUAGGAUGUGCAGCCAUUUAAAGCCAAAGGGGAAAAAAAAAGGAGACCCAACCUCCUUUCUCUGAGGUUCCUUGAUUACAGGGCAACUUAUAAAUCACCCUGGAUUUUCCUCAUUUAUCCAAUUAGUCCGUCUUCCUGCUCCUGUGGAGAUCACUAAGGUGUGGGUCUGUUCUGCGAGAUCAAAGUCGGUGGCUCCAAUAACAGAUAAGACAGAAUUCGUGAUUCAGCAGAUUCUAAGGCUGUGAAGUAUAACAAUCCGCACUUUGGGAAGAUAGCACCAGUCCAUUUCGAGUAUCGAUUCACUGCACUUUGUCACUCUAAUGAUGUUAUCUCAUUAAAAGAGAUAAAUGCCCCACUGUUCUUCCCAGAGCAUCUGCUUCUUACUCUUCUCUCUUUUUCAACAGCAUGGCUCUCAGCAGCAGCACAUUAAAAUCAAAUUGAAAUCCAAUGCAAGGCUUGGCGACAGAGCUGCUUACCGAGGCUUCUUUUUAAUUGCUUUUUCUUACUCUCGCACCCUUCCCGCUCCCCCAACAACUGUCAUCCGUAGAAACACCAGAAUAAAGAGAAACAGAUGUAGAAAGUAAUAAUAAUAGGAAGCAUUCAAUGAGGAGCCUCCACCGCGUCGACACUUACCUUUGCCCACCUUGACCUUCCCAGGUAAGCAGAACGAUUUCCAGUGUGCAAAUGAAGAAAUGGAGUCUGAGGUUAAGGUGCUUGCCUGAGAUCACACAGGUGCUUCUUGAUCACUGUGACAUGUGAUGACACUCUAAUUCUCUGGCUAAGGAAUCAUGGUGGACCUUAGAACACUGUUCCGCCCUCCAACUUGACAUCUCCACAGUUCAAGUGUCCCACACUCUAGCUGGGGUUUGGAAAGGAAGGAGAUUUAUGAGACUGUAUGUCCAAGCAAGUGGAAAGUACGCAAUUCAAAACUCUCCAGCUUUCUAGAAACAGAUCUACUUAGAAAAUCAACCGUACCCACAGAAAUAUUUCCAACAUUCUAACUCACAUAUCCUACUUGAUGAGAUGAUUGUCUGGUUUUAUUUAAGCUGAGAUCUAUUUCCUCCCCAAAGGGUGGUGUGUUCUUUGUCUUAUUCCAAGAAAACCACAAGAAAAAUGCUGACCUAUGAAGGUUACACAUCAUGCUUAAUCACUACUUUAAAUUAAAAUAACAUAAAAUAAAGCAUUCAUUGGGACAUAGGCAGAACAUACCUUCCCAAGCAACAGACACACCUACUGAGACACCUGAAAUGUCUGAGGAGUCUGGUUCCCAGCUGCAUAUCAAGAGCCAAACCAUGACAUCAGGUCUUGAGUUGUCCUGGAGAAACUUAGGGCAGGGCUGUCAUAGCAAACUGUGUCCACCAACCAGUCUUCCCAAGAGUUGACUUCAUGUUUCAGUACACCAAACCCUGACUAAUAGAUGCCAAGGUUUGCAAUGACCACAGUGAUGAGUCUCCUCCUCUUCCCCACCCUCCAUUCAUGACUUUGGGAUGGAAUACCUGCCUACUUUCCAGUAUUCCAAAAGCUUGCUUCUCAAAGACUGCUUAAAGGUAAGUAUUUAAGCCAGUGGUGGUGGUGAUGGUGGGCGUCAGAACAGGUUUUCUUCUCUUGGCCAAAUGAAAAUCUCUCAAAAACCAUUUCUUAUUAUUUUCUGGUCUCUUCCAGUGGGGUAAAGCAGAGAGCACGAGAAGGCCAGACAACAGGCCAAGAGAAAAAGAUCACCACUGGAAAGGGGGUUUUAGUAAAGGACUUUCAACAAACUAAAUGGGUUUUCUUAAAGCCUAGGGAUUCCAUAAUACCUUUUGAAGACACACUGUCUCAAAGCACUGUCUAAUUCUACCACAAUCCAUCGCUAAUGGGAUAAUUUACCUCUUCUUGUAGGCCUCUGGCAAGAUCUUUUCCUUGUAUUAGAUCCUUCAGUGGCUCUUAGAACGCUUACCUCAUUUUCUGGGCUCAUAUCAACCAUCUUCCCCCAGUGCAGUGGUUCUCAGCCAUGGGUAUUUUUGUUCCCCUAAGGGACACUGGCCAAUGUUGGGGAAAGUUUUUGGUUGGCUGGACUGAAGUGGGGGAAAGGAAAUGCUACUGAACAUCCUUCAAAGUGGAAGACGGCCUCUCACUACAAAGAAUUACUCAGCUCAAAUGUUAACAGUGUUGAGAUAUCCUGCUGUACCAAGUCCUUUGUUCUCCAAACAUACCAGACUUUCUCAUAUGCUUUGUGCUUAAACAUAGCCUGUUUCCUUUACCUGGAAUGCCCUGCCCUACUCUAUGUCUAAGAAAUGGCCAUUUAUCAUUCAAGAUCUGACUCAAAAUGUCACCUCCUCUACAGUCCUUUCCAUAUCUCCCAAAGCUGGCUGUUCCUUCUGUACUUGCAGAGUUCCUGGUACGCAUCUCAUUAAAACACUAGCCACACUACCCCCAAGCCUGUCACCUGCUGCAGGCAAAACCUAAGACUCAUUCAUUGUUCAUCCCUGAGUGUCCAACUGUAAUCAAUUGUUACUUGCUCAGUCACUCAAGGAAUAAAUGGAAAAGUUGCAGAUGCACUUAAGACUCUCCUACAAGGACAUCUAAGAGACAACAUUGUCCUUAACAUCAGAAACAACAACAGCAAAUAUUUAUCAAAUGCCUGUAAUGUAGACAGGCACUAUAUUAAGCACUGGUGUACAUAUGAACUCAUGGUCAUCCUUUUAACAACCCUGUGAGGUAGGUACUCUUAUCAGCAUUUUUCAGGAAAGGAAACUGAGGACAAGAGAGGUUAAGCCACUUGCCCAAAGUCAUCUGGAAGAGCUGUUAUUUAAACCCGGGUAGUCUGGCUUCAGAACUCAAUUUUCCAACAUCUAUGCCAAGGCAAUUAUACUAACAACUAGUAUUUCAGCCACUCAGAAGCUUCUGACAAAUGCAACGACACAUCUGGAAGGCUAUUACCACCACCUCUUGCGACCCUGCCUAUGAACACUGCUCGCUGGGGUCCCCCCACUCUCCAACCUCUGGGAUGCUUGUGGCAGGAGAAGCAACGUCCUCACAUUGUGGGAAGGCAUUAUGUACCCAGAAGAAUCGUGGUACGGUAAAGAAGACAUGAAAGCUGAUGUCCAAAAGUAUCUCUUACCU